rnacentral:lncRNA from 1 species
CCGCUUAUACUAAAAAUUAGAUUUCACCUCUUUUAAAUUAGAAACGCUUAAACAAUCUCUUAAAUUACGUUCAUAUAUUUAUUUUUUAUUUUAAUUUGAGUAUUAAGCAAACCAUUUUCUCUAUUUUUUUUUCCUUUAUUUAAAAAAAUAUUGUUGAGAGAAAAUAAUUUUGGACAUUUAACUUUUUUUUAAUAAAAAAAUACUAAAAUAUAAUCU